rnacentral:rRNA from 1 species
CAGCAGCCGCGGGAAUACGUAGGGUGCGAGCGUUAAUCGGAAUUACUGGGCGUAAAGCGUGCGCAGGCGGUUCGUUAAGACAGAUGUGAAAUCCCCGGGCUUAACCUGGGAACUGCAUUUGUGACUGGCGAGCUAGAGUAUGGCAGAGGGGGAUAGAAUUCCACGUGUAGCAGUGAAAUGCGUAGAUAUGUGGAGGAACACCGAUGGCGAAGGCAGCCCCCUGGGCUAAGAUUGACGCUCAUGCACGAAAGCGUGGGGAGCAAACAGGAUUAGAUACCCCGGUAGUCCCUGUCUCUUAUAA